rnacentral:lncRNA from 1 species
AUGGGUGUUGCUGAGAAAGGCAAGAAGAUUUUUGUUCAGAAGUGUGCCCAGUGCCACACAAUGCAAAAGGGAGGCCAGCACAAGACUGGGCCUAAUCUCCAUAGUCUCUCCAGGCAGGAGACAGGUGAGGCCGUUGGAUACUCUUACACAGACACCAAUAAGAACAAAGGCAUCACCUGGGGAAAGGAUACACUGAUGCACUAUUUGGAGACUCCCAAGAAGAACAUCCCUGGAACAAAAAUGAUCUUUGCCAGCAUUAAGAAGAAGGCAGAAAGGGCAGACUUGAUAGCUAAUCUCAAAAACGCUACUCAUCAGUAA